rnacentral:rRNA from 1 species
GACGAACGCUGGCGGCGUGCUUAACACAUGCAAGUCGAACGGAAAGGCCAUGAUCUUGCUGGGCGCUCGAGUGGCGAAGGGGUGAGUAAAACGCGUGUAACAUGCACUUAAAAGUGGGAGAAAAUCUGGAGAAAGGGGAUAAAACCGGAUAGAAGAUACUGCUGCAUGGUGGGGGUUAGAAAGUUUCGGCGGUUGGGGAAGGACUCGAGGCUUAUCAGCUUGUUGGUGUGGUAGUGGAUUACCAAGGCUUCGAAGGGUAGCCGGCAUGAGAGGGUGACAGGCCACAAUGGUACUAAGAUACGGCCCAGACUGCUACCGUAGGCAACGGUGGGAAAUAUUGCGCAAUGGGCGCACGUCAGUUGCGGCAGCGUCGCGUGCGUGAUGCCCUCCUUCUGGUUAUAAACCGCUUUGUCCUUAGACGUGGCGUUCUUGACGGUAAUGGGUCAGAAAGCACCGGCUAACUACGUG